UACGAAGGGGGCUAGCGUUGUUCGGAAUUACUGGGCGUAAAGCGCGUGUAGGCGGGUCUUUAGUCAGGGGGGAAAUGCCAAGGCUCAACCUUGGAACUGCCUUUGAUACUGGAGACCUUGAGUCCGGGAGAGGUGAGUGGAAUUGCGAGUGUAGAGGUGAAAUUCGUAGAUAUUCGCAAGAACACCAGUGGCGAAGGCGGCUCACUGGCCCGGAACUGACGCUGAGAUGCGAAAGCGUGGGGAGCAAACAGG
rnacentral:rRNA from 1 species